rnacentral:rRNA from 1 species
AUUGAACGCUGGCGGCAUGCCUUACACAUGCAAGUCGAACGGUAACGCGGGGCAACCUGGCGACGAGUGGCGAACGGGUGAGUAAUGUAUCGGAACGUGCCCAGCUGUGGGGGAUAACUGCUCGAAAGAGCAGCUAAUACCGCAUACGACCUGAGGGUGAAAGCGGGGGAUCGCAAGACCUCGCGCAAUUGGAGCGGCCGAUAUCGGAUUAGGUAGUUGGUGGGGUAAAGGCUCACCAAGCCGACGAUCUGUAGCUGGUCUGAGAGGACGACCAGCCACACUGGGACUGAGACACGGCCCAGACUCCUACGGGAGGCAGCAGUGGGGAAUUUUGGACAAUGGACGCAAGUCUGAUCCAGCCAUGCCGCGUGCGGGAAGAAGGCCUUCGGGUUGUAAACCGCUUUUGUCAGGGAAGAAAAGGCUCCUUCUAAUAUAGGGGGCUCAUGACGGUACCUGAAGAAUAAGCACCGGCUAACUACGUGCCAGCAGCCGCCGUAAUAC